GCCCUUUUAGCUCAGCGGUAGAGCAGCUCAUUCGUAAUGAGCAGGUCGUCGGUUCAAAUCCGAUGAAGGGCU
rnacentral:tRNA from 1 species